AUUGAACGCUGGCGGCAGGCCUAACACAUGCAAGUCGAGCGGAUGAGAGGAGCUUGCUUCUUGAUUCAGCGGCGGACGGGUGAGUAAUGCCUAGGAGUCUGCCUGGUAGUGGGGGACAACGUUUCGAAAGGAACGCUAAUACCGCAUACGUCCUACGGGAGAAAGCAGGGGACCUUCGGGCCUUGCGCUAUCAGAUGAGCCUAGGUCGGAUUAGCUAGUUGGUGAGGUAAUGGCUCACCAAGGCGACGAUCCGUAACUGGUCUGAGAGGAUGAUCAGUCACACUGGAACUGAGACACGGUCCAGACUCCUACGGGAGGCAGCAGUGGGGAAUAUUGGACAAUGGGCGAAAGCCUGAUCCAGCCAUGCCGCGUGUGUGAAGAAGGUCUUCGGAUUGUAAAGCACUUUAAGUUGGGAGGAAGGGCAGUAAGCUAAUACCUUGCUGUUUUGACGUUACCGACAGAAUAAGCACCGGCUAACUCUGUGCCAGCCGCCGCCGUAAAAC
rnacentral:rRNA from 1 species